rnacentral:lncRNA from 1 species
AUACUUUUGAAGCUGUUUUCCCCUUCUUGCAGAUGAAGAGGCUGAGCUCUGAGGCUGUUAAAUAAUGUGCCCGAGUGAACACGGCUGGGCCAUGGUGAGAAGUCAGAAACAAAUGGAAAAUGGAACCAAUGGGAAGGAAAUCACUGACCCUGGAGUUUGUUUUGCUGUGAGAAAGACCAUUGACAUGUUAACAAUCAUCUCAAAGCUGAUGGUAUGCCACCUGGAGAGUCAUCAGAGGAACAGUCUAUCAUGCAAAGGGCCAGAAGAGACCUCAUGACUAUCAUCCUACAUAGAAGAACCCAAACCAGAAGGAACAGCAUGAGCCAAUGCAGCCAUUCAAUACAAUGAGUCUCCGAACUUGAUUUCCAACCCAAGUUAUCACUGGAAUAAAAUGUUGCUCACCACCA